rnacentral:rRNA from 2 species
UACGGAGGUGGCAAGCGUUGUUCGGAAUUACUGGGCGUAAAGGGCGCGUAGGCGGCUAGGCAAGUCAGGUGUGAAAGCCCCGGGCUUAACUCGGGAACUGCAUCUGAAACUGCCUUGCUUGAGUCCUGGAGGGGGUAGUGGAAUUCCCAGUGUAGCGGUGAAAUGCGUAGAUAUUGGGAGGAACACCGGUGGCGAAGGCGGCUACCUGGACAGUGACUGACGCUGAUGCGCGAAAGCUAGGGGAGCGAACGGG